rnacentral:lncRNA from 1 species
UUGAAUUAAAACUAAAAAUUAAACAAUUUUGUCAUCAUCCAAUACAUGAAAAUAUUUAGCCUAGCAUAUUUUUAAAAUUAGAUAAAGGAAAGUGGAAGGACAUCACCAAGAAUUUAUGGAACGUGAAUAACUUCAAUUAUCAUCCAAUAAUCCGUGUCUUUCUUGCGGUUGCCGUCUUCAUAUUUGCCGUAGUGUUUGACUCCAAUUUAUCCUUGAAGCUGCUGUCCAAUUCAAUUGCCGACUGUAUACAUGUGUAACAAUUCUGCUUCUUCAAAAGCCUUCUGCCAACCACCAAUUUGUAGUUUAUUUUCUUCCCAAGUCCCACCAGCUACCAAUAUGCACGUAUGUAUAUAUAUUACAGCAGAAAUAGCC